UUAUCGAUAAGGGAUGGGGAUGCGUCUGAUUAGCUUGUCGGCGGGGUAACGGCCCACCGAGGCGACGAUCAGUAGGGGUUAUGAGAGGAAGGUCCCCCACAUUGGAACUGAGACACGGUCCAAACUCCUACGGGAGGCAGCAGUGAGGAAUAUUGGUCAAUGGGCGAGAGCCUGAACCAGCCAAGUAGCGUGCAGGAAGACGGCCCUAUGGGUUGUAAACUGCUUUUGGAGGGGAAUAAAGUGGCGUACGUGUACGCCUUUGUAUGUACCCUCAGAAUAAGGACCGGCUAAUUCCGUGCCAGCAGCCGCGGUAAUACGGAAGGUCCGGGCGUUAUCCGGAUUUAUUGGGUUUAAAGGGAGCGCAGGCCGCCGAUUAAGCGUGACGUGAAAUGUCCCGGCUCAACCGUGGAACUGCGUCGCGAACUGGUUUUCUUGAGUGAGUGCGACGUCGGCGGAAUUCGUGGUGUAGCGGUGAAAUGCUUAGAUAUCACGAAGAACCCCGAUUGCGAAGGCAGCCGACGAGUCCUUAACUGACGCUAAAGCUCGAAAGUGCGGGUAUCGAACAGGAUUAGAUACCCUGGUAGUCCGCACGGUAAACGAUGGAUGCCCGCUGUCUGCGAUACACUGUAGGCGGCCAAGAGAAAUCGUUAAGCAUCCCACCUGGGGAGUACGCCGGCAACGGUGAAACUCAAAGGAAUUGACGGGGGCCCGCACAAGCGGAGGAACAUGUGGUUUAAUUCGAUGAUACGCGAGGAACCUUACCCGGGCUUGAACUGCAGGCGAACGAUACAGAGAUGUUGAGGCCCUUCGGGGCGCCUGUGGAGGUGCUGCAUGGUUGUCGUCAGCUCGUGCCGUGAGGUGUCGGCUUAAGUGCCAUAACGAGCGCAACCCCUUUCUCCAGUUGCCAUCAGGUAAUGCUGGGCACUCUGGAGACACUGCCACCGUAAGGUGUGAGGAAGGUGGGGAUGACGUCAAAUCAGCACGGCCCUUACGUCCGGGGCUACACACGUGUUACAAUGGGUGGUACAGAGAGUUGGUCGUUUGCAAAUGCGAUCUAAUCAUGAAAGCCAUCCUCAGUUCGGAUUGGGGUCUGCAACCCGACCCCAUGAAGCUGGAUUCGCUAGUAAUCGCGCAUCAGCCAUGGCGCGGUGAAUACGUUCCCGGGCCUUGUACACACCGCCCGUCAAG
rnacentral:rRNA from 1 species